rnacentral:rRNA from 1 species
ACCGUCCUACGGGAGGCAGCAGUGGGGAAUAUUGCACAAUGGGCGCAAGCCUGAUGCAGCCAUGCCGCGUGUGUAGAAGCAUCGGCUUGUAAGACACUUUCAGUUGUGAGGAAGGUGGUGUCGUUAAUAGCGGCAUCAUUUGACGUUAGCAACAGAAGAAGCACCGGCUAACUCCGUGCCAGCAGCCGCGGUAAUACGGAGGGUGCGAGCGUUAAUCGGAAUUACNGGGGGUAAAGCGCAUGCAGGUGGUUUGUUAAGUCAGAUGUGAAAGCCCGGGCU